rfam:Strongyloides venezuelensis genome assembly, scaffold: SVE_scaffold0000003
GCCUUGAUGCCCGAGUGGUUAAGGGGACAGACUCGAAAUCUGUUGGGCUCUGCCCGCGCAGGUUCGAAUCCUGCUUAAGGCG